rnacentral:rRNA from 1 species
CCAUGCAAGUCGAGCGGUCCGACAUUUAACAUUGAGUAUUCAGUACGAGUUGGCAGAUGAGCCAGCGUCAGGCAGAAAGAUACUUGAGAUCAGAUCAGGUUUUUUGCUUCACGCCAUAUCAAGUGCCGGCGCAAAGGCGGACUGAGUAUUGAAUGUUGAAUGUCGGAUAGCGGCGGACGGGUGAGUAACGCGUGGGCAACCUGCCUUUCACAGGGGGAUAACACAGGGAAACUUGUGCUAAUACCGCAUAACAUCAUGUGGGGCAUCUCAUGUGAUCAAAGGAGCAAUCCGGUGAAAGAUGGGCCCGCGUCCAAUUAGCUAGUUGGUGAGGUAAUGGCUCACCAAGGCGACGAUUGGUAGCCGAACUGAGAGGUUGAUCGGCCACAUUGGGACUGAGACACGGCCCAGACUCCUACGGGAGGCAGCAGUGGGGAAUAUUGCGCAAUGGGGGGAACCCUGACGCAGCAACGCCGCGUGAAGGAAGAAGGUCUUCGGAUUGUAAACUUCUUUGAUGAGGGACGAAGUAAGUGACGGUACCUCAAAAACAAGCCACGGCUAACUACGUGCCAGCAGCCGCGGUAAUACGUAGGUGGCGAGCGUUGUCCGGAAUUACUGGGUGUAAAGGGCGUGUAGGCGGGGAUGCAAGUCAGAUGUGAAAUACCGAGGCUUAACCUCGGGGCUGCAUCUGAAACUGUGUUUCUUGAGUGUCGGAGAGGAAAGCGGAAUUCCCGGUGUAGCGGUGAAAUGCGUAGAGAUCAGGAGGAACACCGGUGGCGAAGGCGGCUUUCUGGACGACAACUGACGCUGAGG